AAAAAGCACAAAAGAGGAGAGGAACUAUUGUUUUAUUCAAUAAAUGCUGUUCGAGCCUCUAUGUUCUGUGCAUUAUGCAAGAUGGUGUGGACUGAGAGUUUGUCCCUGGGCCAGCAGCAACCCCGGGGACUUGUCAGAAAGGCUGAGUCACAGGCCCACCCGUAGGCAGAACACCUCGCUUCUUUGGCUGAAGUGUAUAAUUUCCUACCUAGCUCUCGAGGGGCACCUCAGUCGUCACGAAGAAAGCACAGGUACUACCGUGGGCAGUCAACCACGAAAAGCUACAACCAGUGCUGUCAAGUUCCAUAAAAUGAAAGAGAAACCAAUUAGUCCAAGCGGAGAAGAGGCUGGCUGGGCCCCAGCACCUGUCCCAGACACUCCACGCCCACACCCACCCAAACUGCAGUCUCCACUCAGCCAAGCCCACUCUGCCUGGGCAUCUCCAUUUCUGCCUGGCAUGGAUAGAGGGUCCCUGGGAGUCUCCAACCUCUCUCCUGAGAAUCCAUCUCGUCAGUACCUGGGACAGCAGUCUUGGCGAUCUCCCUUACAGAACUUCUAAAACAAGCUUCCAGACCUGCCAGUUGUCUGAAAAGUGAUCCAAUCAGAUUCUUGGCACUUUAUGCUUCCCAGGAGCUCCUGAGAAGUACCUGUGCCCACGGGAAGAGAUAAAGGGUUCAGACACGUGCACGGACCCUAUUCUGUUCCCUGACUGCUCCUGAAAUUUCUCCAAGGAAACCUGAUUCUUGGGAGUGAGUGUUCUCUACCUGAGUGAUUCCAGGGAGAGUGAAUUUUAGGUAGAGUCCUUUAUGAAGCCUUAGUUGCAUUAGUAUCCCCACCCAGAAGUGUGGGCUCUCGGGGCGCUCCCUCUCAGGGACCCCAAGCCGCAUGGCGUGAGCUCUCUUGCAACACUUCCUCUCUACGAGGAAGACAUGUCGGGGAUCCAAGAUCAAUGUUAGGAGGCUGUGAGGCCAUG